GCGGGUGUCGCCAAGUGGUUAAGGCCCCGGAUUGUGGUUCCGGUAUUCGUGGGUUCAAGUCCCAUCAUCCGCCCCA
rnacentral:tRNA from 3 species